AUUGAACGCUGGCGGCAGGCCUAACACAUGCAAGUCGAGCGAGCGGCGGACGGGUGAGUAAUGUCUGGGAAACUGCCUGAUGGAGGGGGAUAACUACUGGAAACGGUAGCUAAUACCGCAUACCAUCAGAUGUGCCCAGCUGGGAUUAGCUAGUAGGUGGGGUAACGGCUCACCUAGGCGACGAUCCCUAGCUGGUCUGAGAGGAUAACCAGCCAAACUGGAACUGAGACACGGUCCAGAUUCCUACGGGAGGCAGCAGUGGGGAAGAUUGCACAUGGGGCGAAGGCCUGAUGCGGCAAUGCCGCGUGUGUGAAGAAGGCCUUCGGGUUGUAAGGCACUUUCAGCGGGGAGGCGGUACCCGAAGAAGAAGCACCGGCUAACUCCGUGCCAGCAGCCGCGGUAAUUC
rnacentral:rRNA from 1 species